AUGGUGCUUGGAUGGACAAAAGAAGCGAACAUAUACAGAUCUAAUGAACGCGCUGAAUUGGUUUCUGUUCAGCAUUUCUCACUGGACUACCAGAGAAAGGAAAUUAAAUCAACUCACGACAGCUAUCUUGCACAUCUCACCUGGGAAGGUAUGCAUAAGGGCAUAUGUAAACAUAGACCCUGUGGGAGCCUAGUUCUGAGGUCCUGCUGUCAUGGGAAAAACACUGGUUUUCUUUUGUGGGCUUCUGUAGACAGACAUUUUAGGGAGGAUGUUUGCUGAAGUUCUGUUGCCAGUCAAUUGACUUCACAAGUUAAGCUGAAAAAGAAUUCAGGUUACCACUUGAGCCAUAAAUGCAGUCACUUCUCUGAUACUAUUACGAAGUCUCCACCUAAAGAAAUCCAUUGAUGCGCUAUAUUCUAAUUUACAGUUCUGUGACUCACAUUUGUAGUUAUCAGCACCAGCUCUACCAACACAGUCAAAUAAAUUCCAGCAAUUCAGGGUUUCCUGAUUUAUG
rnacentral:lncRNA from 1 species